AUGCCAUCUUUAUGAUAUCUUUUCAUGUUACUCAAUAUGGCCCUAUAAAUGGAGGCAUUGAGAAUAAUGUUGUACACACUUGAACACACUUGGAUGAAUAGGAAAGUUCUAAUCUCUUGUCUCUGUUUAUCUCUUUAUUGUUCUUGUUUCAUCUUUUGAUAUAUUGUACUAACUAUUUUAGAAUGAUUUUACAACACGUUAUCAGCACGAGACUCUAAUAUCAUUUUGGUAUUUUCAAGUUGAGUUGCACUCCUUAUUCUGUGUGCAAAGGAACCAAAAGGUAUAUGCUACUGGUUGAUUAUUUUUUGCCCACAAAAUUCCUUAAUGGGAAAGGUAAAAAUUCUAACGUGUUGUAAAAUCAUUCUAAAAUAGUUAGUACAAUAUAUCAAAAGAUGAAACAAGAACAAUAAAGAGAUAUUUAAAGACAAGAGAUUAGAACUUUCUUAUUCUAGAGAUUAUUUUCUGUGUGCAAAGGAACCAAAAGGUAUAUGCUACGGGUUGAUUAUUUUCUGCCCACAAAAUUCCUUAAUGGGAGAAGGUAGAAAUUCUAAUGUGCUGUAAAAUCAUUAUAAAAUAGUUAGUACAAUAUAUCAAAAGAUGAAACAAGAACAAUAAAUAGAUAAAGAGAGACAAGAGAUUAGAACUUUCUUAUUCAUCCAAGUGUGUACAACAUCAUUCUCAAUGCCUCCAUUUAUAGGGUCAUAUUGAGUAACAUGAAAAGAUGUCAUAAAGAUGACAUUUACCCUUGAGAAGGUGGGGAAGAUUAUGGGGUUGUGGGAGAUGAAUGAGGAGGUAGUGGAUGUGUGGUGUUACUAUACUUUAUGGUGGAAUUACACCUAGGAGUUAUGGACAUCCACAAUUAACUAAUAUUAAUAUUUACAACAAUCCUUUUGGUUUUGGGAUUUUUUUUUUGAUGAUUUCUGUUCCAAUGGUUUAAUAUGAUCUCUUCUAAUUGUUCUUUGAUUGGUAUGUUUGUUAUAAUUCUAUGGAGUGGACUUUCUUAGUCUGGAGCAACACAAUACUUCUUUUCCCCACAAAGUACUAAAUUUUGUUUGCAAAUCAUAUUCACUUAAGACUUGUCUAUAAUCAGAUGCUUCUUUCCUCUUCUUUGCACGACAAUUAUUUGAUGUCAUCUGUCCAUCGCGUUAAAAUUUUGAAUCACGUAGUAGCUAUAGGUUACUUCCUUCUUCUAUCAUUUCUUGCAUAUAUCAUCUGGAUUUUGGGCAGCAAAGGUGUUUGAUGAUAUGUUUGACUUAUUUUAUUUGGAGUAACGAAGUCCACAAACUUUCCUUUAAUCUUCGGGUUAGGAGAUUUGUGCAUUUCUUUCCCGCUUGCUGGCGGGAUGCUCAGUUUGACACAUUGGACGUAUGCAACUAGAUGAUAUUAAUCUCCUUAGAAAGGAGACAACGAAGAAGAAGGUAGAGGAAGCAAUGGAGGCUGGUAAGGUAUCUACCAAGAAGAAAGAAAGUAAAAAGCCAUCCAUUUCUUUGGACGUUAAGCCUUGGGAUGACUAAAUCAUAUGAAGAAACAAGAGGAGGUUGUUUGCAAUGUUCAGAUGGAAGAGCUUUUCUGGGGAGCAUGCAUGACUUAUUAUAUCCAUUCAACUCUUUAACCAUGCCCUAACCAUUAUAUAUCUGAGUUUGGUUAUUGACAAGCUGUUUUUGCAUCUCUUUGACAACCAAAUUAGUUCCAAUCGGCAACGGGAUUAAGAAAUUGCAAAUCAUGCUUACCAUCGUAGAUGACCUGAAAUUUGGGCUGCGUAGAGCCCCAUGUUGUUGGUAAGUUUUUGCGCAUUCGUGCUUGAGAUCCUGUGGAUUUCCUUAUGUUUCUUUUGAUAGCAUUUCCUAAUGGGGAAAACUUUAAGGUAGGGAGUCAAAGUUGUUAUUGCUAAAUCUUUGAGAAGAUUCACCAUAAUAAAGGCAAAAUUUCG